UAUGCUUAACACAUGCAAGUCGAACGGAACUUUAGGAGCUUGCUCUUAAAGUUUAGUGGCAAACGGGUGAGUAAUAUAAAGGAAUCUACCUAGCAGUACGGAAUAACUUUGGGAAACCAACGCUAAUACCGUAUAUUACCAUUUAUGGGAAAGAUUUAUCGCUGUUAGAUGAGCCUUUAUCGGAUUAGUUUGUUGGUGGGGUAAUGGCCUACCAAGGCGAUGAUCCGUAGCUGGUCUGAGAGGAUGAUCAGCCACACUGGAACUGAGACACGGUCCAGACUCCUACGGGAGGCAGCAGUGGGGAAUAUUGGACAAUGGGCGCAAGCCUGAUCCAGCAAUACCGCGUGAGUGAUGACGGCCUUCGGGUUGUAAAGCUCUUUUAGUAGGGAAGAUAAUGACGGUACCUACAGAAAAAGCACCGG
rnacentral:rRNA from 1 species